GAUGAACGCUGGCGGCGUGCCUAAUACAUGCAAGUAGAACGCUGAAGGAAGGAGCUUGCUCUUUCCGGAUGAGUUGCGAACGGGUGAGUAACGCGUAGGUAACCUGCCUUGUAGCGGGGGAUAACUAUUGGAAACGAUAGCUAAUACCGCAUAACAGUAGAUAUUGCAUGAUAUCUGCUUGAAAGGUGCAAUUGCAUCACUACCAGAUGGACCUGCGUUGUAUUAGCUAGUUGGUGAGGUAACGGCUCACCAAGGCGACGAUACAUAGCCGACCUGAGAGGGUGAUCGGCCACACUGGGACUGAGACACGGCCCAGACUCCUACGGGAGGCAGCAGUAGGGAAUCUUCGGCAAUGGACGGAAGUCUGACCGAGCAACGCCGCGUGAGUGAAGAAGGUUUUCGGAUCGUAAAGCUCUGUUGUAAGAGAAGAACGAGUGUGAGAGUGGAAAGUUC
rnacentral:rRNA from 1 species